GAUGAACGCUGGCGGCGUGCCUAAUACAUGCAAGUCGAGCGAACGGACGAGAAGCUUGCUUCUCUGAUGUUAGCGGCGGACGGGUGAGUAACACGUGGAUAACCUACCUAUAAGACUGGGAUAACUUCGGGAAACCGGAGCUAAUACCGGAUAAUAUUUUGAACCGCAUUGUUCAAAAGUGAAAGACGGUCUUUCUGUCACUUAUAGAUGGAUCCGCGCUGCAUUAGCUAGUUGGUAAGGUAACGGCUUACCAAGGCAACGAUGCAUAGCCGACCUGAGAGGGUGAUAGGCCACACUGGAACUGAGACACGGUCCAGACUCCUACGGGAGGCAGCAGUAGGGAAUCUUACGCAAUGGGCGAAAGCAUGACGGAGCAACGCCGCGUGAGUGAUGAAGGUCUUCGGAUCGUAAAACUCUGUUAUUAGGGAAGAACAUAUGUGUAAGUAACUGUGCACAUCUUGACGGUACCUAAUCAGAAAGCCACGGCUAACUACGUG
rnacentral:rRNA from 1 species